rnacentral:rRNA from 1 species
AUGGGCAGGAGCUCGGGCCACAUUACUUUUCAUGCCACCCUAAGCAGCCGAGAUGCUGGCUGCUAUUUGAACCCUGAGACUUAUUUCCACAUUGGAGGGGAGGAAGGCCUGUUUGAGUUCCUGAAUGAAAGGAUAAAGAAGAAGGGACAUGUUGUCAUCGUUGUUGUUGAAGGCGGUGAUCAGAAGUUGAUUCCCCGGACCGAUGACCAGAAAUGA